rnacentral:piRNA from 1 species
CAGGGCAGCAGGAGCAUAUCUC